AUUGAACGCUGGCGGCAUGCCUUACACAUGCAAGUCGAACGGCAGCACGGGGGCAACCCUGGUGGCGAGUGGCGAACGGGUGAGUAAAGCAUCGGAACGUGCCCGGUAGUGGGGGAUAGCCCGGCGAAAGCCGGAUUAAUACCGCAUACGCACUGAGGUGGAAAGCGGGGGACCGAAAGGCCUCGCGCUAUCGGAGCGGCCGAUGUCGGAUUAGCUAGUUGGUGGGGUAAAGGCCUACCAAGGCGACGAUCCGUACCUGGUCUGAGAGGACGACCAGGCACACUGGGACUGAGACACGGCCCAGACUCCUACGGGAGGCAG
rnacentral:rRNA from 1 species